CACUUAUCACAACAACUGCAUGCAGAAAGGGCUUAAUAAGUAAUAAUAGUAAUGACACUAAUAAUAAUGGCUCAUACGGUUUAUUAUUUGAGCUGUUUUAUUAUUGAAUCUCAAUUAAAUCAUUCAUUAGAUGGAAGAAACAUGUCCUACCUUCUGGGGCUAUUUUUGGAGUUGAAUGAGCUAGUGUACGUGAACACACUCUGUAUAUGCGCUGAAGCAUUCUGUUAGAAAUAAUAACAAUAAUGCUUGUGUUUUCAUUUAUUGAGAAUCUACUAAAUGCCAGACAUUUGCAUAUUAUUGCUAAAUCUCCACAGCAAUGCUCUAAGGUAGGUGGUGGUAUUUUUUACGGGAAAUGAAACAGGCUUAGAAGAAUUUGCCUGGGAUCAUGCUUAGAUUUCAACCUAGAUCUUUUUUUUUUUUAAUUCAAUUUACCAUUCUACAUAGCCACAUCUCAAUGAUAAUACCAGAACUGUUGAUACUAGGUUGUUGUUCCUGUGGAUAAUAGAAUCAAGCUCCUUCCUGUCUCCUAGUCUGGGCUGUCGUGUCAUCACUAAGUAAGCUAGCAUACACUGCAUGUAUUUGAUGUUAAGACAUGAUUUUGAUGAAAUGCAUUUACUGUGUACUCAUUCACAAACUUGCAUGUGUAUCCACGCACUAAGCUUGGGGCUGUGAAGGAAGUUCCAAAAAAGAAGGAACAUGUCAGCAAGUCCUCGGCAAUGGCAGUGUGGUUGAUACACGGACUGUAUCCCCAAGGGGGAUAAUUUGAAGGGCAUGCUUUUUGAAUGGGUGAGUUCCUAUAUUUUUAUUAUAAUGUUUGAUGCUUUUUUAGUCACUCCUCAUGCUUUUAUAUUUCAGUUACAUGAAUUUUCAUUCAUAUUGUGGAUUACAAGUAAAUGGAAUUUACAACUGGUGCCCCUGCCUGCAUACUAAUGAAAGAAAAGGAGAAAUAGCUUCAGACGAGGGUGCUGUCCGUCUCCUGUGGCAAGAAAGCCUUCCAAGGAUUCGCAGAGGGAGAGCUUUUCAGUAGGUUUCAAGUAAUAAUCCUUUGGAGAGAGGAGACCAUCCAUCCUUUGUUUUUCUCAUCUUGUUUUAAAUCACUGGAAAGCAGAUAUUAUCACCGUGGUCUAGUUAAAAAUGGUGGAGCCCUGAAUAAUUUGCAGUCACCCCUUUAAUAGUUCGGUUCAGUUAGAGCCUUAUAAAGAAGCACGGUCCGCGCAGAGGUGCCCUGCCUGCCCUCCUCGCGGUCUGUCUCCCCCUUUGUUGGGGGGGUGGCGGGAAGGGGAAGCGAACAAGCAGCUGUGCUGUUACGUCUGCAGGCUUCUGCCAACCAUAUGGCAUCUUAAAGAAAGAUGGUCGGAGCGUCUGGAUUAGCAAAGAGUCGGGAUGGGAAGCCAUGUGUCGUGUUGGUACAGGCAGUUGUUUGAGCUCUCUCUAAAUGGCUUCAGGAGAUUGUGUAAUGGAACAAAUGGUCCUGCGAGCCCAGGAACAGCCUUGCCACUGCUGGGGAGGCAAUUGGCCCUCGGGCGGGUACUGCUCCCCUCCCCCAGUAUUAUGCACUCUUAAUGUUCAUCAAACUCUGAGAACUGACUCAGAACUUUUCAACUUCUAAUUAGGCUGGCAGGCUUUCCCUGCUCUGUGUCUGCCUGAACUGCCUUGCUCUCUGAUCUUGUAAUUAAUGACUCCCGGUAGCACCUCAUGAGCUCCCCAGCCCUCUGCAGGGGGCCAGGCUCAGCCCACCCACACUCCAGUGCAUUUCUCUGGGAGGUUGCCCAGCUAUUGGGGAAUGUGCCCUCCCACCAGAAUCUCCCAAAACCCCCUAGGAUGGAAAAUCGUUCAUUCCUUAGUAAGUCGGCUGAGGUUUUGUACAGUCCCACGUGUUGAGCACAUGAGAGAUGUGUCCCUUCACUAUUUUGGACCUUAUGUGUGGCAUUAAAAAAAAUUACACUAAUUCCUAGCAGCGACGUCUUUGGAUCUUUGGAUCUCACGUGCCGUUUACUCAGCAGUUUGAGACGUUGGGAUUCAACUCCCUAACACAAAAUGUAAAAUGUAAGUUUAAGAGUUGAGACACAAUGAUACUACUGGCAGUAUUUCAGCUGUGGUCAAGUUCCUGGACCAUUCUUGUUUUGAGAGGCUAAAAGGCAGAAGGAACCUUGCAAACUUCCAGCAAGAGCAGAUCUUUCAAGUUUGUUGUCUUAGUCAAACUCUUUGGACAUUUCAGCUACUUUUUAGGCAAAGAGAUCUCUGUUGUCAUUGUAGGUAGGGUCACUGUAUAUGCAAUGCAAUAUCUUUACUGCUAGAAAAGUUAGGUCCACCCCCUCAAUGGGAUGGAUGACUAACUCUGAGGCUAUGGGGUAUCAUAACUGUGGUUAAUGGAAGGUAAAAUUAGUAGAUUCAGUGAAAGAACUGGACAAUUUAUCUGACCAAACCACCAAUCAGUUUGAUGAAGUAAGUGGUCAGUCAGGGCAGUGGGAGUCACUGGGGGGUGCCUCGUUUAUACUGCCCCCCAUGGGAGCAGAACAGCUUGAACAGAAACACCUCCUUAGGGGUCGAGCUGCUCCUUCCCUUCUCACAGGCAGUAAGGCCCCGGAAAACAGUUAAGUAAGAAAUGUAGCGCCCAUGCUGAGUGAGUUAGCUAUGGUCCACUGUAGGACAGAGGAGGCUCGUGUACAACCUCUGCCAAAGGUACUUUGAGCAAUGACAAUGCAUCCGAGUUCAUUCUGCUGUGCAGUGAGGCAGAGGCUUCCCCGCCAAAGAGAAACGAGACCAGAGCAUGUGUGGUGAGGCUCCCAUGCGAGGAGAGGACACAGAAUCUGGAAAUCUGAAUGUGCCUUCAGACUGUAAUCAUUUUUAUGUACUUGGGUAAGGAAGAUGAUUUUUACUUUCUUAAGGUCAUCUGAGAAUCAUUUGAAGAUUGUUACCAAUUUCUUUCAUAAAUAAAUAUUUUCUUCAAGGA